rnacentral:rRNA from 1 species
CCUACGGGGUGCUGCAGUGGGGAAUAUUGGACAAUGGGCGAAAGCCUGAUCCAGCCAUGCCGCGUGUGUGAAGAAGGCCUUCGGGUUGUAAAGCACUUUCAGUGGGGAAGAAAGCCUUGGGGCUAAUACCCUCGAGGAAGGACAUCACCCACAGAAGAAGCACCGGCUAACUCCGUGCCAGCAGCCGCGGUAAUACGGAGGGUGCGAGCGUUAAUCGGAAUUACUGGGCGUAAAGCGCGCGUAGGCGGUCUGAUAAGCCGGUUGUGAAAGCCCCGGGCUCAACCUGGGAACGGCAUCCGGAACUGUCAGGCUAGAGUGCAGGAGAGGAAGGUAGAAUUCCCGGUGUAGCGGUGAAAUGCGUAGAGAUCGGGAGGGAUACCAGUGGCGAAGGCGGUCUUCUGGACUGACACUGACGCUGAGGUGCGAAAGCGUGGGUAGCAAACAGGAUUAGAUACCCUUGUAGUC